rnacentral:misc_RNA from 1 species
CGCACAUUGCGCCCACCAGUAUUCUGGUGGGCAUGCCUGUUCGAGCGUCAUUUCAACCCUUAAGCCCCAGUUGCUUAGCGUUGGGAGCCUACCGGACCCUGUCCCGUAGCUCCCCAAAGUCAGUGGCGGAGCCGGUUUAACACUCCAGACGUAGUAGCUUUUACACAUCGCCUGUAGCCUAAGCCCGGCGCCCUGCCGUAAAACACCCCCCAAUGUAUAGGUUGACCUCGGAUCAGGUAGGAAUACCCGCUGAACUUAA